GAUGCAUUGUGUGUAACGGUUGCAUUGCUUGUGUAUGUGUGUCUGUGUGUUUUUCUGUGUGCAAGGGGUGCAUUGUGUGUAUGUGAUGAAUGUCAAUCUCUCCUCCCGCUCCAAUUUCCUUCUCCUCCUCCCAAUUUCUCUUUCUCACCCCCCUCCUUUCUUUCUCACCCACCCCCUUAUUUCUCUUUCUCACCCCCCCUUAUUUCUCUCUC